GCAGGCCUAACACAUGCAAGUCGAGCGGAAACGAGUUAACUGAACCUUCGGGGGACGUUAACGGCGUCGAGCGGCGGACGGGUGAGUAAUGCCUGGGAAAUUGCCCUGAUGUGGGGGAUAACCAUUGGAAACGAUGGCUAAUACCGCAUAAUAGCUUUGGCUCAAAGAGGGGGACCUUCGGGCCUCUCGCGUCAGGAUAUGCCCAGGUGGGAUUAGCUAGUUGGUGAGGUAAUGGCUCACCAAGGCGACGAUCCCUAGCUGGUCUGAGAGGAUGAUCAGCCACACUGGAACUGAGACACGGUCCAGACUCCUACGGGAGGCAGCAGUGGGGAAUAUUGCACAAUGGGCGCAAGCCUGAUGCAGCCAUGCCGCGUGUGUGAAGAAGGCCUUCGGGUUGUAAAGCACUUUCAGUCGUGAGGAAGGCGGUGUAGUUAAUAGCUGCAUCGUUUGACGUUAGCGACAGAAGAAGCACCGGCUAACUCCGUGCCAGACAGCCGCGGUAAUACGGAGGGUGCGAGCGUUAAUCGGAAUUACUGGGCGUAAAGCGCAUGCAGGUGGUUAGUUAAGUCAGAUGUGAAAGCCCGGGGCUCAACCUCGGAACUGCAUUUGAAACUGGCUGACUAGAGUACUGUAGAGGGGGGUAGAAUUUCAGGUGUAGCGGUGAAAUGCGUAGAGAUCUGAAGGAAUACCGGUGGCGAAGGCGGCCCCCUGGACAGAUACUGACACUCAGAUGCGAAAGCGUGGGGAGCAAACAGGAUUAGAUACCCUGGUAGUCCACGCCGUAAACGAUGUCUACUUGGAGGUUGUGGCCUUGAGCCGUGGCUUUCGGAGCUAACGCGUUAAGUAGACCGCCUGGGGAGUACGGUCGCAAGAUUAAAACUCAAAUGAAUUGACGGGGGCCCGCACAAGCGGUGGAGCAUGUGGUUUAAUUCGAUGCAACGCGAAGAACCUUACCUACUCUUGACAUCCAGAGAACUUAGCAGAGAUGCUUUGGUGCCUUCGGGAACUCUGAGACAGGUGCUGCAUGGCUGUCGU
rnacentral:rRNA from 1 species